GGCGGCAUGCCUAACACAUGCAAGUCGAACGAAGGCUUCGGCCGUAGUGGCGCACGGGUGCGUAACGCGUGGGAAUCGUGCCCCUUGGUUCGGAAUAACAGUUAGAAAUGACUGCUAAUACCGGAUGAUGACGUAAGUCCAAAGAUUUAUCGCCGAGGGAUGAGCCCGCGUAGGAUUAGCUAGUUGGUGUGGUAAGAGCGCACCAAGGCGACGAUCCUUAGCUGGUCUGAGAGGAUGAUCAGCCACACUGGGACUGAGACACGGCCCAGACUCCUACGGGAGGCAGCAGUGGGGAAUAUUGGACAAUGGGCGAAAGCCUGAUCCAAGCAAUGCCGCGUGAGUGAUGAAGGCCUUAGGGUUGUAAAGCUCUUUUACCCGGGAUGAUAAUGACAGUACCGGGAGAAUAAGCUCCGGCUAACUCCGUGCCAGCCGCUGC
rnacentral:rRNA from 1 species